rnacentral:lncRNA from 1 species
AUUUGGUGUCAUCCUCCCCUGAUAUAUAGAAGCUACAGAGGCUUUUAGAAGAUACAACAGACAGAUUAUAUGUAAAUCAAUAACAAUUUUUCUUUUGUUGCUCAAACCAUGAAUACCGACUAGCUAGGUUUCAUGAUAUCCCAAUAAGAAUUUUUUUUUCCAAAUCCCUACGUUUUCAUCAAAUUGUCUUGCCACAGCUGAGUACAAGCAGCAGAGACAGCUAAGUGCGGUGCAA